rnacentral:snRNA from 1 species
AAUUUUGUGCAGGGGCAGUAUCACAGCCAAUGAGGUUUAUCCGAGGCGCGAUGAUUGCUAAUGGAAAACUUUUCCCAAACAUGAAUUUGGAACAAACUGUGUUC